GGAAUAUUGGACAAUGGGCGAAAGCCUGAUCCAGCGACGCCGCGUGUGUGAAGAAGGCCUGCGGGUUGUAAAGCACUUUCGAUGGGAACGAAAUGUGCCGGGCUAAUACCCCGGCAAGCUGACGUUACUCAAUGAAGAAGCACCGGCUAACUCUGUGCCCGCAGCCGCGGUAAUACAGCGGGUGCGAGCGUUAAUCGGAAUUACUGGGCGUAAAGCGCACGUAGGUGGUUUGUUAAGUCUGAUGUGAAAGCCCUGGGCUCAACCUGGGAAUUGCAUUGGAUACUGGCAGUCUAGAGUGCGGUAGAGGGUAGCGGAAUUCCCGGUGUAGCAGUGAAAUGCGUAGAUAUCGGGAGGAACAUCCGUGGCGAAGGCGGCUACCUGGACCAGCACUGACACUGAGGCACGAAAGCGUGGGGAGCAAAC
rnacentral:rRNA from 1 species